rnacentral:rRNA from 1 species
AUGAGAAAGCGGCGGACGGGUGAGUAACACGUGGGCAACCUGCCUAUAAGACUGGGAUAACUUCGGGAAACCGGAGCUAAUACCGGAUACGUUCUUUUCUCGCAUGAGAGAAGAUGGAAAGACGGUUUACGCUGUCACUUAUAGAUGGGCCCGCGGCGCAUUAGCUAGUUGGUGAGGUAAUGGCUCACCAAGGCGACGAUGCGUAGCCGACCUGAGAGGGUGAUCGGCCACACUGGGACUGAGACACGGCCCAGACUCCUACGGGAGGCAGCAGUAGGGAAUCUUCCGCAAUGGACGAAAGUCUGACGGAGCAACGCCGCGUGAA